CUCUUCUUCCGAGCAUACGCGCGAGGCGGGUGGUGGGAGGGUGGUGGUGGUUAAAAAAAAAGGCCCCCUGGAAGAUACGGCGGUUUGAAUUUUCUUUUUCCUUGGGAAACGCCCACCGAGAGCGCGGGGAAGUUAAGAGGCCGCUAAUGCGAAAGUUAUUCUGUGGGAUUUAAAAAACAAUCCCCCCCCCUCUUAGUUUUGGGGCGUGGGAAAUGUAAGACUGCCGAUUUAAGCCAUGGCUCCAGAUUCAUUCCUCCAGAGGAGGAUUUCUCUUACUAAACACUGUACGCUGCCUUGAGGCUACUAUAGUCCUAGAUGCAAUUCUUUAAAAAUAAAUCCUGUUGAGUCUCCCGAGGGGAUGAUCUACUACUGCAAAGUAACUCCCGAGAUACUCAAAAGUGAAGGCACUGGCACUUAAAAUGUACACUACAAAACUGUCAUUAUCAAACUGAAUUGAAACGGUAAAGCUCUGACUGAAGAAAAUGAUCCAGGUGCUUUUUCUGAUAUUAGAAAAACAGACUGAAAAAGAGUUCUGUUCUACAACUUGGGACCUGCAUGGCUUUCCUUUAUGUGUACAAGAAAUGGACCUUAGAAAGUGAAGCAGGAGCACAAGUGAAGCAACAUUUUUUUGUUGAUCUAUCUGCCAUAAACUCAAGAACCCUUUCGUGGUCAGUUAUGCAGUAUAUUUUGAUAUAGAACACAAAUGGAAAAAGAAAAUUAGGAGUAAAGCCAGAUGAAUGGGAGGUAAGAAAAAAGGUCAAUUUGUCCUGAAAAAAUUGGAUGACACAUUCCGUUCCACCUGAGGGUUUAUGCCAUUCUUACUAAGAAGACAAAAAGGAUUAAUAAGAAAAAUGAUGCUAUAGUUUUGCAGAUUUAUUAAUAGGGAAUCUAAAUGGAUCUAGGAAGAUAACUUUAAAAGUAACCCUCUAUUUAUUUAAUUAUUUGAUGAUGAUUAAUUAAUUAUAACUUUCCAAUCUGCUAAUGUUGCUUUAAAAAACUUGAUCUUGCAAACAAAAUUGUGCAUACUUUUCCCCCCUUUCUUUUGUAAUCCUUAACAAUUAUUCUGAAAUCAGUAAUACAUCUAGUGUGUUAAAUCUCUAAAGGAGGAUUAGGAGCCAUAGGUAGAGCUUCUAAAUUCUCCUCAGUUACUUCCUGCUUUCUUUUUCAAUAAUCCUGCUAUCCAAACUGGUUAUACAAUUGUCUUCAUUUUUAAAAAAAAAAAGUAAAACAGAAAACCAAAGCAUGUGGGAUAUAUCUCUGUGAUGUAGGAUGUUUAGAGUCACUUGUUGAGAUGCAUGGCUACAGAAAUUAAAUAGUUGGAUUAUUUUUAUGUCAAGGACCAAGAAGGUAUCACAGUAAAAAUACAUAGUUAGUGGUGGUAGAAUUGUGUAUAAUAAAUAAAUAGAGGCAGAUUAAUACCUGAUUAAUAACGGAAAGCAAGUAGUAAAUAAUAGCAAAUAGCGAAUAAUAACGGAAAGUAAUAAUGGAAAGUUUCCCACAGUUGACAAAAAAGUAACUCUCCCAUGUAGCUCUCCAAGGAACUGUUUUGGGAACAGGCCUUUUCAAAUUCAUGAAUGAAUGUUUUUUUCUGGGUUUUCUGGCGAUAGGACACAUUAUUUAAAAUAGCUAAAAGUGAAAGAUAAUUCAAGCAUUCUCAAAAAAAAAGUUCAAAAUUUAGGAAAUGUGUAUUUUAAACACAAACUCUCUGUUCCCUAAUUUAAAUAUA